rnacentral:tRNA from 1 species
GGCCCUAGCUCAGUUGGUUAGAGCGUGGUGCUAUAACGCCAAGGUCGUCGGUUCGAUCCCGGCGUUGGCCA